rnacentral:rRNA from 1 species
AGUGAACGCUGGCGGUAGGCCUAACACAUGCAAGUCGAACGGCAGCACAGUAAGAGCUUGCUCUUACGGGUGGCGAGUGGCGGACGGGUGAGGAAUACAUCGGAAUCUACUUUUUCGUGGGGGAUAACGUAGGGAAACUUACGCUAAUGCCGCAUACGACCUACGGGUGAAAGCAGGGGAUCUUCGGACCUUGCGCGAUUGAAUGAGCCGAUGUCGGAUUAGCUAGUUGGCGGGGUAAAGGCCCACCGAGGCGACGAUCCGUAGCUGGUCUGAGAGGAUGAUCAGCCACACUGGAACUGAGACACGGUCCAGACUCCUACGGGAGGCAGCAGUGGGGAAUAUUGGACAAUGGGCGCAAGCCUGAUCCAGCCAUACCGCGUGGGUGAAGAAGGCCUUCGGGUUGUAAAGCCCUUUUGUUGGGAAAGAAAAGCAGCAGGUUAAUACCCCGCUGUUCUGACGGUACCCAAAGAAUAAGCACCGGCUAACUUCGUG